AGAGGCGGACGGGUGAGGAAUAUUUGGGAAUCUGCCCAUCAGCGGGGGACAACCCGGGGAAACUCGGGCUAAUACCGCAUACGCUCUACGGAGGAAAGCCGGGGACCGCAAGGCCUGGCACUGAUGGAUGAGCCCAAAUCGGAUUAGCUAGUUGGCGGGGUAACGGCCCACCAAGGCGACGAUCCGUAGCUGGUCUGAGAGGACGAUCAGCCACACCGGAACUGAGACACGGUCCGGACUCCUACGGGAGGCAGCAGUGGGGAAUAUUGGACAAUGGGGGAAACCCUGAUCCAGCGACGCCGCGUGGGUGAAGAAGGCCUGCGGGUUGUAAAGCCCUUUCGGUAGGGAAGAAAUCUCUUGCUCUAACAAAGCAAGGGUUUGACUUAACCUACAUAAGAAGCACCGGCUAACUCUGUGCCAGCAGCCGCGGUAAUACAGAGGGUGCGAGCGUUAAUCGGAAUUACUGGGCGUAAAGCGCACGUAGUCGGCUUGCCAAGUCGGGUGUGAAAUCCCCGGGCUCAACCUGGGAACUGCAUCCGAAACUGGCUUGCUAGAGUAUGGGAGAGGGAGGCGGAAUUUCUGGUGUAGCAGUGAAAUGCGUAGAUAUCAGAAGGAACAUCAGUGGCGAAGGCGGCCUCCUGGACCAAUACUGACGAUCAGGUGCGAAAGCGUGGGGAGCAAACAGGAUUAGAUACCCUGG
rnacentral:rRNA from 1 species